AGAGUUUGAUCAUGGCUCAGAACGAACGCUGGCGGCGUGCCUAACACAUGCAAGUCGAACGGAUUUGAGGGGCUUGCUCCUCAAGUUAGUGGCGCACGGGUGAGUAACGCGUAGAUAAUCUGCCUGAUGAUCCGGGAUAACACUUCGAAAGGGGUGCUAAUACCGGAUAAGCCCACGGGGUCUUUGGAUUCUGCGGGAAAAGGGGGGGACCUUCGGGCCUUCUGUCAUCAGAUGAGUCUGCGUACCAUUAGCUAGUUGGUAGGGUAAUGGCCUACCAAGGCUACGAUGGUUAGCUGGUUUGAGAGAAUGAUCAGCCACACUGGAACUGAGACACGGUCCAGACUCCUACGGGAGGCAGCAGUGGGGAAUUUUGCGCAAUGGGCGAAAGCCUGACGCAGCAACGCCGCGUGAGUGAUGAAGGCUUUCGGGUCGUAAAGCUCUGUCGAGGGGAAAGAAGUGUAUUGUGGCUAAUAUCCACGAUACUUGACGGUACCCCUAAAGGAAGCACCGGCUAACUCCGUGCCAGCAGCCGCGGUAAUACGGGGGGUGCAAGCGUUGUUCGGAAUUAUUGGGCGUAAAGAGCGUGUAGGCGGUUUGUUAAGUCUGAUGUGAAAGCCCUGGGCCUAAUCUAGGAAGUGCAUUGGAAACUGGCAGACUUGAAUACGGGAGAGGGCAGUGGAAUUCCUAGUGUAGGAGUGAAAUCUCGUAGAUAUUAGGAGGAACAUCGGUGGCGAAGGCGGCUGCCUGGACCGAUAUUGACGCUGAGACGCGAAAGCGUGGGUAGCAAACAGGAUUAGAUACCCUGGUAGUCUACGCUGUAAACGAUGAGAACUAGGUGUUGCGGGUAUUGACCUCUGCAGUGUUGCAGCUAACGCAUUAAGCUUCUUCUGCCUGGGAAGUACGGUCGCAGACUAAAACUCAAAGGAAUUG
rnacentral:rRNA from 1 species